UACUGUAUAAAUUCCAAAUGUGAUCAGC
rnacentral:piRNA from 1 species